UACAGAGGGGGCAAGCGUUGUUCGGAAUUACUGGGCGUAAAGGGCGCGUAGGCGGCCUGUUAAGUCGAACGUGAAAUCCCCGGGCUCAACCCGGGAACUGCGUCCGAUACUGGCAGGCUUGAAUCCGGGAGAGGGAUGCGGAAUUCCAGGUGUAGCGGUGAAAUGCGUAGAUAUCUGGAGGAACACCGGUGGCGAAGGCGGCAUCCUGGGACCGGCAUUGACGCUGAGGCGCGAAAGCCAGGGGGAGCAAAACGGGG
rnacentral:rRNA from 1 species